UUUGGUUUUCUUCUUGUACUUGUAUUAAAAACAAUUGUGGUUCUUAGGUUAUUCGAAACGAGGCCUUACUGUUGCUUACUUAUUUGACCCGUGAAGCUGAGGAGAUUCAAAAAAUUGUGGUCUUUGAAGGUGCAUUUGAGAAGAUUUUCAGCAUCAUUAAAGAGGAAGGAGGUUCAGAAGGUGGUGUUGUUGUGCAGGACUGUCUUCAAUUGUUGAACAACCUUCUCCGAACUAAUGCAUCUAAUCAGAUACUACUGAGAGACUAUGGGAUUUGACCCCAUAAUAUCAAUUCUGAAGCUACGGGGAAGUACUUACAGUUUCACCCAACAAAAGACAAUUAAUCUACUCAGUGCAAUAGAAACCAUUAAUUUGUUAAUGAUGGGAGGUACAGAGGCUGAUCCUGGAAAAGAUGCAAAUAAGCUAACAAAUAAAGCAACACUGGUUCA